rnacentral:rRNA from 1 species
UAGGGAAUCUUCGGCAAUGGACGGAAGUCUGACCGAGCAACGCCGCGUGAGUGAAGAAGGUUUUCGGAUCGUAAAGCUCUGUUGUUAGAGAAGAACGUUGGUAGGAGUGGAAAAUCUACCAAGUGACGGUAACUAACCAGAAAGGGACGGCUAACUACGUGCCAGCAGCCGCGGUAAUACGUAGGUCCCGAGCGUUGUCCGGAUUUAUUGGGCGUAAAGCGAGCGCAGGCGGUUCUUUAAGUCUGAAGUUAAAGGCAGUGGCUUAACCAUUGUACGCUUUGGAAACUGGAGGACUUGAGUGCAGAAGGGGGGAGUGGAAUUCCAUGUGUAGCGGUGAAAUGCGUAGAUAUAUGGAGGAACACCGGUGGCGAAGGCGGCUCUCUGGUCUGUAGCUGACGCUGAGGCUCGAAAGCGUGGGGAGCAAACAGG